rnacentral:rRNA from 1 species
GCGUGCUUAACACAUGCAAGUCGUGCGAGAAAGGGACUUCGGUCCUGAGUAGAGCGGCGCACGGGUGAGUAACGCGUGGGUGAUCUCCCUUGGUGAUCGGGAUAACAGCGGGAAACUGCUGCUAAUACCGGAUAAUCUUCAUGUUUAACUUCAUGGGGUAAAGGUGGCCUCUGCUUGCAAGCUACCACAUCAAGAUGAGCCCGCGUCUCAUUAGCUAGUUGGUAGGGUAAUGGCCUACCAAGGCUACGAUGAGUAGCUGGUCUGAGAGGAUGACCAGCCACACUGGGACUGGAACACGGCCCAGACUCCUACGGGAGGCAGCAGUGGGGAAUAUUGCGCAAUGGGCGAAAGCCUGACGCAGCGACGCCUCGUGAGGGAUGAAGGUCUUCGGAUCGUAAACCUCUGUCAAGAGGGAAGAAACCCUUGGAUUCGAAUAGGGUCCUUGGCUGACGGUACCUCAAAAGGAAGCACCGGCUAACUCCGUGCCAGCAGCCGCGGUAAUACGGAGGGUGCAAGCGUUAAUCGGAAUCACUGGGCGUAAAGCGCUCGUA